GCCGCGCUUUUAAGCUCCGCGACCUUAUCUCUGAUACCUCAGCCGCCUGUCCUAAAGCGAAGCUGUCUUGUCGGGGAAGAGAGUGGUCACGGUGUCGCGUGGUAACAAAGCUUAGGACAGGAGAACCUCCAUGAGAAAGGACGUCCUCCGGUUUCUAGAAAUUGGGAAGUCGAAGAUUGAGGUUCCAGCCUAGUCUGUUCCCUGUCCAGGACCCUUUUCCUGUCUUGCAGAAGAGAGGAAGGGAAAGGGAGAGAAAAUCAUUGAUCGCUGCCUUCUGCACACCUCCUACUGUGGAUGGAACCUGCAACCCAGACAUGUGCCCUGAUCGUGAUUUGAAUCGUGACUCCUAGUGUCAUAGAUCAAUACCCAACCACUGAGCCACACCAAGUCUCCCAUCAGGAUAAAGCAGCAUUUGUCAUGCACAUACCGCCCUGUGCAGAAGUGAGGGAAGACUGCUGCAGAAGUGAAUACAGGCAACAUCUUUGAUCCCAGGGCACAGGUCUUUGAGAGGAAAUCUCCAAGCCUCUCGAGGAGGCAUUAGAAGGCUAUCCAGGCAGCAAAAGUACCUCAGGAUCAUGGCUGAUAAAUACCAGGAGAUCGGUGGCAUCCAUUUUCCUUUUCCCUUCACACCCUAUUCCAUCCAGAUAGACUUCAUGACAGUGCUGUACCAGGUGUUGGAGGAUGGCAAGAUUGGGAUAUUUGAGAGUCCAAUUGGCACU